UACGAAGGGAGCUAGCGUUGUUCGGAAUCACUGGGCGUAAAGCGCACGUAGGCGGAUGUGUCAGUCAGGGGUGAAAUCCCGGAGCUCAACUUCGGAACUGCCUUUGAUACAGCACGUCUUGAGUCCGAUAGAGGUGGGUGGAAUUCCUAGUGUAGAGGUGAAAUUCGUAGAUAUUCGGAAGAACACCAGUGGCGAAGGCGGCUCACUGGACCGGCAUUGACGCUGAGGUGCGAAAGCGUGGGGAGCAAACAGG
rnacentral:rRNA from 1 species